GUGCACUGUUUGUAACCUGUCAGCCUUGCUGUGAUUGGUGGGUUCCAUUCUAGUGCUAUAGGAUUUCCAGUGACACAUGGCUAACUGGCUGGCUGGUGGCUUUCAGUUUCAUGUCUUGGAGACACAC
ensembl:snoRNA small nucleolar RNA SNORA54